GUGCUUGCUUCGGCAGCACAUAUACUAAAAUUGGAACGUUACGGAAGAGAUUAGCAUGGCCCCUGCGCAAGGAUGACACGCAAAUUCAUGAAGCGUUCCAUGUUUUU
ensembl:snRNA U6 U6 spliceosomal RNA